UGCAGGAUAGCUCAGUUGGUAAAGCAUGAGACAUUUAAUCUCAGGGUGGGGGGUUUGAGCCCCACGUUGGGCAA